AUUGAACGCUGGCGGCAGGCCUAACACAUGCAAGUCGAACGGUAGCACAGAGAGCUUGCUCUCGGGUGACAAGUGGCGGACGGGUGAGUAACGUCUGGGAAACUGCCCGAUGGAGGGGGAUAACUACUGGAAACGGUAGCUAAUACCGCAUAACGUCGCAAGACCAAAGUGGGGGACCUUCGGGCCUCACACCAUCGGAUGUGCCCAGAUGGGAUUAGCUAGUAGGUGGGGUAAUGGCUCACCUAGGCGACGAUCCCUAGCUGGUCUGAGAGGAUGACCAGCCACACUGGAACUGAGACACGGUCCAGACUCCUACGGGAGGCAGCAGUGGGGAAUAUUGCACAAUGGGCGCAAGCCUGAUGCAGCCAUGCCGCGUGUAUGAAGAAGGCCUUCGGGUUGUAAAGUACUUUCAGCGGGGAGGAAGGCGGUGAAGUUAAUAGCUUCACCGAUUGACGUUACCCGCAGAAGAAGCACCGGCUAACUCCGUGCCAGCCGCCGCGGUAAGAC
rnacentral:rRNA from 1 species